rnacentral:rRNA from 1 species
UACGGGGGGGGCAAGCGUUGUUCGGAAUUACUGGGCGUAAAGGGCGCGUAGGCGGCCAACUAAGUCGGAUGUGAAAUCCCCAGGCUUAACUUGGGAACUGCGUCUGAUACUGGGUGGCUUGAGUUCGGGAGAGGAAUGUGGAAUUCCAGGUGUAGCGGUGAAAUGCGUAGAUAUCUGGAGGAACACCGGUGGCGAAGGCGGCAUUCUGGACCGAAACUGACGCUGAGGCGCGAAAGCCAGGGGAGCAAACGGG